rnacentral:misc_RNA from 1 species
GAUGAAGAACGCAGCGAAAUGCGAUAAGUAAUGUGAAUUGCAGAAUUCAGUGAAUCAUCGAAUCUUUGAACGCACAUUGCGCCCCUUGGUAUUCCGAGGGGCAUGCCUGUUCGAGCGUCAUUAUAACCCCUCAAGCUCAGCUUGGUGUUGGGGCCUGCUGCACUGGCAGCCCUUAAAAUCAGUGGCGGCGCCAUCCGGCUCUAAGCGUAGUAAUUCUUCUCGCUAUGGAGUCCUGGUGGAUGCUUGCCAUCAACCCCCAAUUUUUCUAUGGUUGACCUCGGAUCAGGUAGGGAUACCCGCUGAACUUAAGCAUAUCAAUAAGCGGAGGA